CUGUAUACAAUGUUCUCCUGGUACUGCUCCUUUCGCUCUGCAUCACUUCCUGGAGGUUGUUCCAGUCUCCAUGGAAUUCCUCCACUUUAUUAUCCCUUUUAGUAUAAUAGCCUUUUAAUUCCUUCUCCUUCUCCCAGUCUCUCCCUUGACCAGUCCAGCCAAAGUAAAUUCUUGAAAGUGCAGACCUGACUGUUAUUACCCUGCCCCUGUGUCUAAAAUCAAAUGUAAACUUUUCACAGUGGCAUAUAAUGCCUAUCUCAGUCUAACUCCUUUCUAUUCUUCCAAUUUUAUUUCAAAAAAUCAACUACUCUUCCCCAAACUCUCCCUUCUUUCUUCAUCUACUUGCCUGAUGUAUAGUCUUCUUCUCUUCCUAUAAAGAAAUAAGCUUAGGGGUUAACCUCAUUUAUGAAUUCCUCUGUAGAAUUCAUUCAUCUAAUGAAUUUGUCUAUAAUUCCAUUAAUUAAUGAUCAUCAAAUUGGAUAGAACAUUGAAUGAGUCUUUGUUUUAAGUAAAAACAGUCUCAAAAUAUUUUUCUGUUUCAGAACAGAACAAAAUGAAAAAUGGAGGCCUUGGGAAAAUGUGCAAUGGGACUGAGAAAAAGGGCAAUUUACAUCUGCGAUGGGGCUCCGGUAGAAUUGACGAGGCUCAUCGGUGCCCAGGUGGAAUUGACAGAGGCUCAUGGACUUUUGGGAUGGAGAGGCCAGGGCAGAAUCCACGAUGGUGCUAGUCACUAAGCCGAGACGCGUUCCUUGGUCAAUACGUGCUGUGAUAAUGGAGGGACUGGCCCUAAUGGUCUAGUCCUUUCUAAAGAGCCUAGUCAACAUUCCCCACCUGCUUCUAAUGGAACACGUAGCAGCUUGGGAAAACUACUUCCAUCCAUGAGAGACUGGUGGGCUGAUGCUCCUUGUUUGUGAGGCGUCAUCAGAGUAUUCAGGGUUGUUGAGAAGCCAUAAGAACGAGCGAUUCAGGAAGCACUGAACCCCAGAACUCGAGUUCUCAUACGGAAGAAUUGCUGCAGCUCUCCCACGGGUGACUGGAGUGGAGAGCAGCAGCAGCUUCAUCCUGGCCUUUGGAGAUGACCAGAGAAGGGAAUCCCAAGGUAGCUUAGCCUGGGCCCGCCUUGAUCCCUACAUGUGUAUCUCAUUACAGUGACCCUGAGUCUGAGCCCACUAUCCCCAAGGACCUUGGGCCUGUGGAAGAAGAGUUUGUCUCCCAAUUUGGCCAGUUGUUUUGCAGUUACUGUUAGUGCUGCACCUUUUCAAUGAACAGCCUUUGACAAAAGUUAAAAUAGUUCUAGUGGUGGAUCAUUGUGAAUGGGAUAAAGAAAAUGACCAGCCUCCCAAAUUAUCAUUACAAACCUGGAGUCAGAGGGGGAAUGUAUUAGAAGCAGUCUUUACUCUUCCUCACGAGAGGGGCAAUUGCCCUGGUGGUGAUGCCAAUGCACGGCUGCAGACACGAGCAUUAUAGAGAUUCCUGAAGCAAGACCCCCUCCCUUCUUUGUCCCGUGCUCCAUUGUUUGGGGCUGAACUUACACACUAGGUGCAAAUUCUAAUCCAUCAGAAAACAGCAAGAUCCCUAGCAUGGGUUCCUCAUGAGCUUCCAUCAGGGAGGGGUACCAUGUCCUUGGGGGUGACUCCUCUGGCUCCUAAAGGUCUAAGGAGACAAGGAGCUCGUAUAGCCCAAUGGUUUUUGUCCUUGAGAAGAGAUAAGAGGCCUCCCAACUCACUGGGCCUGUGGCAAUAAUGAGGCGUCCUUGAGGUCUUAUUCUGUAAAUCUAAACAGACUUUCAUUCCUAAUUGGGGGGAGGGAGGAAGGAUGGAUGUCCACCCUGAGAAGAACAAAUUAAUUCUUUCAUUCCCCACAAUUGCAAGAUGGCACCAGACUGGGGCUAAUGAGCAACAAUAAAAGAUAUUCCAGCUAUUCA
rnacentral:lncRNA from 1 species